rnacentral:rRNA from 1 species
UACGGAGGGGGCUAGCGUUGUUCGGAAUUACUGGGCGUAAAGAGCACGUAGGCGGAUAUUUAAGUUAGGGGUGAAAUCCCAGGGCUCAACCCUGGAACUGCCUUUAAUACUGGGUAUCUCGAGUCCGAGAGAGGUGAGUGGAAUUCCGAGUGUAGAGGUGAAAUUCGUAGAUAUUCGGAGGAACACCAGUGGCGAAGGCGGCUCACUGGCUCGGUACUGACGCUGAGGUGCGAAAGCGUGGGGAGCAAACAGG